rnacentral:rRNA from 1 species
UGGGGAAUAUUGCACAAUGGGCGCAAGCCUGAUGCAGCCAUGCCGCGUGUAUGAAGAAGGCCUUCGGGUUGUAAAGUACUUUCAGCGGGGAGGAAGGGAGUAAAGUUAAUACCUUUGCUCAUUGACGUUACCCGCAGAAGAAGCACCGGCUAACUCCGUGCCAGCAGCCGCGGUAAUACGGAGGGUGCAAGCGUUAAUCGGAAUUACUGGGCGUAAAGCGCACGCAGGCGGUUUGUUAAGUCAGAUGUGAAAUCCCCGGGCUCAACCUGGGAACUGCAUCUGAUACUGGCAAGCUUGAGUCUCGUAGAGGGGGGUAGAAUUCCAGGUGUAGCGGUGAAAUGCGUAGAGAUCUGGAGGAAUACCGGUGGCGAAGGCGGCCCCCUGGACGAAGACUGACGCUCAGGUGGGAAAGCGUGGGGAGCAAACAGG